GGCUACCACUUACAGAUGGACCCGCGGCGCAUUAGCUAGUUGGUGAGGUAACGGCUCACCAAGGCGACGAUGCGUAGCCGACCUGAGAGGGUGAUCGGCCACACUGGGACUGAGACACGGCCCAGACUCCUACGGGAGGCAGCAGUAGGGAAUCUUCCGCAAUGGACGAAAGUCUGACGGAGCAACGCCGCGUGAGUGAUGAAGGUUUUCGGAUCGUAAAGCUCUGUUGUUAGGGAAGAACAAGUGCCGUUCAAAUAGGGCGGCACCUUGACGGUACCUAACCAGAAAGCCACGGCUAACUACGUGCCAGCAGCCGCGGUAAUACGUAGGUGGCAAGCGUUGUCCGGAAUUAUUGGGCGUAAAGGGCUCGCAGGCGGUUUCUUAAGUCUGAUGUGAAAGCCCCCGGCUCAACCGGGGAGGGUCAUUGGAAACUGGGGAACUUGAGUGCAGAAGAGGAGAGUGGAAUUCCACGUGUAGCGGUGAAAUGCGUAGAGAUGUGGAGGAACACCAGUGGCGAAGGCGACUCUCUGGUCUGUAACUGACGCUGAGGAGCGAAAGCGUGGGGAGCGAACAGGAUUAGAUACCCUGGUAGUCCACGCCGUAAACGAUGAGUGCUAAGUGUUAGGGGGUUUCCGCCCCUUAGUGCUGCAGCUAACGCAUUAAGCACUCCGCCUGGGGAGUACGGUCGCAAGACUGAAACUCAAAGGAAAUUGACGGGGGCCCGCACAAGCGGUGGAGCAUGUGGUUUAAUUCGAAGCAACGCGAAGAACCUUACCAGGUCUUGACAUCCUCUGACAAUCCUAGAGAUAGGACGUCCCCUUCGGGGGCAGAGUGACAGGUGGUGCAUGGUUGUCGUCAGCUCGUGUCGUGAGAUGUUGGGUUAAGUCCCGCAACGAGCGCAACCCUUGAUCUUAGUUGCCAGCAUUCAGUUGGGCACUCUAAGGUGACUGCCGGUGACAAACCGGAGGAAGGUGGGGAUGACGUCAAAUCAUCAUGCCCCUUAUGACCUGGGCUACACACGUGCUACAAUGGACAGAACAAAGGGCAGCGAAACCGCGA
rnacentral:rRNA from 1 species